GCAGCAGCAACCCCUCAACAGCAACAUUGUACCCAUCAGGAUAUCCUUGUGGAGGAGCUGGAGGCUGAAGUGAAGGAAAGUGAGUUCUAGGCGUCUCUGCUCAGACUGUUGCCCCUGUAAUCGCUUUUUAAGCAGCACAAAACCAAUGGAUGGAUGUGUCAAUGGAUGGAUGGACAAAUGCAUAGUUUAGAUGUAGGAAUUUGUUAUUAGAGUAAAGAAAAUACCUAUAUUGUACUUCAAAGAAAAUGAGCAAACUUCCAAAAUGAGUUGAAUGAAAUGUAUGUAUAUUUAAUGAUAUUCCAUAAAUUAAAGAAUUGAUUAAACUGAUAAAACUCUGAGUGCUGUUGGAGGCUCUGGCAUUCAGCCCACCGUUACAAACAAUAAUGAGCCUUAGAGUUACUCAGCAUUACUUUGACCUAUUAAUGUAGGUACAGAUAUUUAUUGGCAUUCACCAAAUAUACCAUUUCCAGCUCCUUUAAUUUUAUUCUUGCAAUCAGCAAUUAAAAAGCUGAAAGUGUUGUGUAAUGUGGCGUGAGUAGCGUAGUCAGAACCUGCAGACUCACUGUUGUGUCAGUUGUGUUUGGGCAGUGUGUCUAAAUCCUUUAUAACAGACAGCAGUAAAUAAUGUGACACUGAGAACACUCACACACAGCAGCGAUGAUGAGGAAGAGGACAGCAACA